UCUUAGCUUGCUAAGGCCGAUGGCGACCGGCGCACGGGUGAGUAACACGUAUCCAACCUGCCGUCUACUCUUGGACAGCCUUCUGAAAGGAAGAUUAAUACAAGAUGGCAUCAUGAGUCCGCAUGUUCACAUGAUUAAAGGUAUUCCGGUAGACGAUGGGGAUGCGUUCCAUUAGAUAGUAGGCGGGGUAACGGCCCACCUAGUCUUCGAUGGAUAGGGGUUCUGAGAGGAAGGUCCCCCACAUUGGAACUGAGACACGGUCCAAACUCCUACGGGAGGCAGCAGUGAGGAAUAUUGGUCAAUGGGCGAGAGCCUGAACCAGCCAAGUAGCGUGAAGGAUGACUGCCCUAUGGGUUGUAAACUUCUUUUAUAAAGGAAUAAAGUCGGGUAUGCAUACCCGUUUGCAUGUACUUUAUGGAUAUGGAUCGGCUAACUCCGUGCCAGCAGCCGCGGUAAUACGGAGGAUCCGAGCGUUAUCCGGAUUUAUUGGGUUUAAAGGGAGCGUAGAUGGAUGUUUAAGUCAGUUGUGAAAGUUUGCGGCUCAACCGUAAAAUUGCAGUUGAUACUGGAUAUCUUGAGUGCAGUUGAGGCAGGCGGAAUUCGUGGUGUAGCGGUGAAAUGCUUAGAUAUCACGAAGAACUCCGAUUGCGAAG
rnacentral:rRNA from 1 species